rnacentral:sRNA from 1 species
UGCACAUGCCAUAGUGCAUGUGUAUGUGUGGGUGUGCACAUGCCAAGGAGCAUGGGUAUGUGUGGGGUGCAUAUGGCAUGGUGCAUAUGUAAAAGAUAGAAAGCAAUGUGUGAAAGUCAGUUCUUUUUCUUCCCAUAUGUGCUCCAGGCAUUAGUAACAGGUGCCUAUCCACUGGGUCAUCUCACCGGCCCCCUUUUCUCUCUUGGCCACCUCACGCUGCCCCAUCAUGGUAAAUCCCCGUAACUGUAGAUAGUAAUAAAUCUUUCUAUCCUAAAAUUGUUCGUGUCAGGCACAUUGGCACCACAGGAAAAGUGUAAUUAACACAAGAGGAUGGCAGGCAGACAGGCUCUAGCAGGCUUCCUUUCAGUAUGUAGGGUUUCCAGACCCCCUGACCCAAAUUCUGCUUGCCUGUGCAUAUGCACCUUGUAAAGGACCUGCACUGCCUCCUCUGGCUUGUCACCAAACAGAGACCAUCAGGCUGAAACAUUGCCCUGCAUAGAUUCCCAUUCUAUUCUGCCUUUCACCCACUUUCACUCUUUCUGUCCUAAAAAUGUGCCUCAAAAUACAUUAGCAGGCAAGCUCUUGGUUAUGUGCCCUGGGUUCUAGGAGGCACAGCUUGGGUGAAGGAAGCAGGGCACCACGGACAUGACUCUAAACGUAGACCUAGUUUGUAGCCCAUACCUUCUCUCUGUCUCCUCUCCUCCAUGAAUUGAACAACCUUUUCUUCCCUACAUCUUCCUACCACCAUGAUGGUCAGCUUCACAAAUGGGCCCAGAAUUAAUGGAGCCAUAAAUAAUAGGUUAAAAUCUAAGCAUGAGUCACAAUAGAUUUAUUUUAAUUUAAGCCAUCCUCUCCAGUAUUUUGGUCACAGCAAUACAAAAUUAACUAAUAAAGUUAGAUUGAAAUGCUGACUCAUCUGAGAGAAAAGAACCAAAAUGCAGGUAUCCAGAUGUCAGGUAGAAUUCUCAGAGGACUCCCAAGCUUCCUACUCUACAGACAGUCCUUAUUCUCUUGCAUGUAAUGGAUGGGGACAGAUGACUAUAAUGAGCCAACACUCCUGUGACUGAGUUGAAUUACAUGGACUAAGCUACCAGUGGAGGUCCCUCACCAACCGACAACUAAGUCAAAACAGAUGGCACCUGGUGGGCCUGACCUUAGCAGAAGACCUUGCAAGGCCUCGGCCUGUCCCCUGGCUAGACAGAUAGCAAGUACAAGAGGAAUGUCUCCUGUUGAUGGUGAAGAGGGAUUAUGGGUGGUCUCAAAAAGUAAGGAAUUAUGGGUAGUCUCAAGGAGUAAGGGAUUAUGGGUAGUCUCGAGAAGUAAGGGAUUGUGGGUAGUCUCGAGAAGUAAGGGAUUAUGGGUAGUCUCGAGAAGUAAGGGAUUAUGGGUAGUCUCAAGGAGUUAAGAGGGCUCCAGCAAGAAGAGAAAGCACCUGAGCUUUAGCACCAAGGAACUAAAACCCCAGGGCACUGUGGGGGAAAUCAGAACUGGGUAUUUUCUGGUCAAGCUUCUAAAUGAGAAUCAUGCUUCAGCCACAAGGCCCUGACACACCAGAGGCUUGGCCACCACUCUGAGGUAAUAAAUCUGCCCUCAUGUGUUAAGUCUGUGGUCCUUUGUUAUGCCGAGGUAAAAUUCCAACAGAGAGCUUCAGCAGUAGCACGGAUUCAUUUUCAGACUAAAAGGAAGAGGCUGCUACCUGCCAGGAAGUCACAGGUGGCUUAUAGGACCGGAGCCAUAGGGAAACUUAGAACCAGGUGAAACUGGUUCCUCCAUGGGAACUGGCCUCACUCUGGUGCUGUUCUGAGGACUUCCAACUGCUGAAAAUCUUGUCUCUUGUGCUCCACGUGUGGUGAGGGCCACAGGACAGCCGUGAUAAUGACAGGAUGUCACAAGUAUCCCUUUGUGUUUGGGUCUCUUUACAGUUAUCAAAGCUGAUUCAUUUGUUGGCUUCUUUAAUUCUCCCGGAUCCCUAAGGGAAUUGUUAAUAUUUUCACAACGAAACAAAAUGAAAACAGAUCGUUGAGUGUUCUCUACGGCUACAUAGUUAUUAAAGGCUGUUGGAGAACCAGUCCUAAGGCUCCUGGCUCUCUCCAGAGAGAAGCAGAGGAGAGAAAGAGAAAAACAAAAACCAACCAACCAAACAGAAAAACAAUAGCUGUCUUCCUUGUGUCCUUUGGAGUGUCCCCGGCAGGAUCAAGUGUUGGGUACCAGGCCUUAGGUUGUGGUGCUGUUCUGAAGACUGUUAAGCCUGUAGGAGCCGAGAUGGAGGUGGUCCUAGAGAGAGAGCAGGUCUUCGAAAGCUAUACUUACACCCUUGGCGUCUCCUCCCCCUCUCUGCUUCCAGUCAGCCACCUCAUGAUCCAACUACCUGCAUUGGAUGGAGUCUCCCAAGUUUGGCUUCCCUACCGUGAGGGGUUCAAAUCCUCCUGAAUGAUGAUUCACAAUAAACCUCCUUUUAAAGGCUGUUAGGUACUUUGGUCACAGUGAUGCAAAAGUUUCACACAGUCACAAGAGGAUGCCUCAGAGGAGCUGGACUCACAGAGUAAUUCUGGCAUCAAGGAGAAUGGCUUCCUAGCAAACCCCGUUUGAGCUGAGCUCAACCAGGAACAGGCGAACCAUGCAGCUCUCUGAAUCCUUUCUGAGGGAAGGAUGGAGCUGUUACCCAAAGCCUCCACCGACAGACACCCUCACAGAGAGGCACCAGCAGGUUUUGUGUGAUUGCCAACAGGUGCCCUGUAUGCACAGAGACUGCAUCCUUGAGCCUAUCCAAGUCUACAGGAAGCAGGAAGACUACGGGAUGGCUCAGCCACGAUAGGAAAUGGCCCAGACGCUGCUUCCCUGUAUCUCUUCUGCCUUCUUCGUUAAUUAAAAUCAUGCAUGCUGUUUGAUUGUGGGGACGGAUUGACGGCCAGGGCCAGCAGCCCUCGACUGCUGCUGCACAUUAUGUCUGUGGAAUUCCAGUGCUUGGCUGGAGCAUGGAGUCAAGUCAGCUCCGUGGACGGGGCUUGUGUUCUCCCGGUACUUUCUCAAAGGCUCUUUGAAGAAGUCUGAUAAUCAGAAGGGCGACGUGUUUUCUAAUUAAAAGUGGCUCCUUUUCUGUCCCCCUACAGCUUUGUUUUGGCUUCUUUCCCUGAGUCAAGGGACCUCCUGGGAGGCUGGCUAAGAAGAGGCUCACAGGCUCUUAGAACUGAUGGCAAUCUCUGAGGACAAUGUGACCUGGCUGCCUGCCUCCAGCAAGGUUAUCUCUGUGCUUCGGUUUCUGGAAGCCCAGAGAUGUUAGGUGUGCCACACAAGGUCACACAGCCAGACGAAGAUGUUGCUGUACUCUGUGGUAGGCUGGGGCAGACAGCCUGUCACUGGAGCCAAAUAAAUCUUGGUGAUGAUGGGAAGUGUUUUCCCAGCAUCCUCUCAUUUUCCCAUGUAGGGCUGUUGAAUUAGCCCUGCCUCUCUCAAUAAUAAGGCCCUUGUAUGGACAACUACCAGACGGGAGCUUGUAGCCUCAUGCCACUCAGGGCAGCCCACUCUGCUCAGGACAGCCCUCUCUGCAACCUGUACUCUCUGCUCCUGUCUCCUGUUUCUUAGCAGCCAUAGCUAGCCAUAGCCGUGACUCACUGAACCUCUCUUCCUUUGGGAUGCAUUUCCAUAUUGUCCACAGGUUGCUGUGGGACAUCCUCAGGUGAACUCCUCCCUGUAGGAGUUAGCAUUUGGGGCUGGUGAGUAAAGUCACAAAGAGAAGCCAGUGUGUGGAGUCCAAAGGCCCGGUGCACAGUCCUGUAGGGACCGGCCAGAGACUCCAGCCUCAGCAGCUGCACAGAGUAUCAUGUGCGCAUAGGCCACAAAUAUUCCUUCCUCUGACACAACCCCCAGGAUAAGGUUGGAGCCAUGCUGUGUUGACCCCUUCUAGAGUUGUCAGAACAAUUUUAGGACCUGAAAUUAUGACAGUAUUCAUUGUGCCACACGGCCACCCUGGUUCAGAGGAGUGUCUACUUACUCUGAAGUCCAUACAGUCAUUUAUAUCUCACCACAACUUAAGGAGUCAAGCCAUCGCUACCUGUUUUACAAGGAGGAGCAGAGAGGUUGAGCCACUUGUCCAUGAUCACACAGCUGGGAAACAUCAGAGAGGAAUAAUCCACUCAUUCAAGUUACACAGUGAGCCAACUUGCUGGCCCACCCUAGUUCUUUUUAAAGGAACCAGUCAUUAUGGUAGCUUUAUAGUGGAUCACACAGUAGGUGUUCAAAAACACACUACGGGUGUUAGACUGAAUCUAAGACUGUGACUCACCCCCACCUUCCCCUACCCCUAGGAGGGUUCAACUCCCAAAGCUGACAUGAGAAAGGGGUGCCAGGUUUCACCCAGCUGAUCUGUAGCAGCUACAAGGUACAAGAUCUUCGGGUCAAGAUCCAUGGAGCACUAAUUCCAACUCUGACCUGGCCACACCAUUUUCUUCCUUAGUCCUCAGUACUUCUCUCUGGAAAAUGGGGAGUUCAUGAAGUGACUUCUAAUAUCUAGAAUCCUGAGCAUCUCACUCCUGACUCUCUCUUUCUCCAUACUUGCCUGUUUGCAGAGUCCUGAGGGGACUUCCCGAUGAGUCGGGCAGAGUCCUGAGGGGACUUCCGGGUGAGUAGGGUAGUGUCCUGAGGGAACUUCCCGGUGAGUGGAGCCUAAACCCAAUUUUGGAUUUCCACAGCCAUUUGGAGGAAGACCCUGGAUUUCCGAGGAAAAGAUGAGUCUCAGAGCAUGGACCAAAGCCAGCGAGGAGGGGAGGAUCCUUUGGCUCUCUAGUUCUCACAUACUGAUCACCUUGGAGGCUGUGGGCUAUAACAGGGCCACACCCUCAUGGAGCAUGCAAUUCCUUCCCCCUCCUGCAUGGGAAGCCUGCCAGCCCCAAGAAUCCAUGCUGCGGCAGAACCCGAUUUGGCAUACAAUUUGACUUUUAUUUUAGAGGCUGUUUCUAGGAAAAUUUCAAGGACUCCUGAGACCUGAUAAUCUGGAUAUGGGCAUAGCACCGCCACCCCUAGCCCCGCCCCUGCGCAGCCUUUGUACAAGGCAGGGGCUGAAAGUCAACAUUGAUUUAGUGCUUGCUGUAUUAUAUGCCUGGCCUGAGAACUCUUUUAGUCGUUAUCCACAGCCCUACCCUGUCAGCAGCAGUACUUUUUUGGUUUUUGAUAGAGGCUAAAAGGAUGAGGCCUAAUGAUACAAGGAACGAGUGGUCAGAAAUCAGCCCAGGAUCCAUCUAGGACCAUAGUUUACAGUUAUGCGAUGCUCGGGGUUUGAAUCCCAAUUCCUUAACCUGCUUGCUGAGUGACCUUGGAUGAGUUCCUUGACUUCUCUGGGCCUCCCUUCCUUCCCUAGGACUGAGAAGCCUCCUCUGCAGAGCUCUGAUGAGGAAUUAUCAAUAACACAGGCGCUACGUGGGGCCCGCCAGCCAGGGCAGAAACACUCUGGGAGUUACUGUUUGUGACAGAGAGGCCUAUCAGACUGCUGACUGGGCACUUAGCUGUAAAAUCCAAUUACUCCGAAAUUCUCAGUAACUAAGACAGAGCCUAAAAUAAUAUCCCCACGGACGUUUUCAAAGCUUUGGGAUGAGGGUACCCAUCAGUGCACACACAUCCCACCCUGGGGACAGAGACCAAAACCCCUUAGCUAUUCAUCUGUCUGCUUUCUUGUCAGGGAGAAAAGGCACCUUCAAGGAACAGAGGCCCAGGGAUUCUGGUAUGCAGCACUCACAGAGGCAGGCAGAGCUUGGGAGGAACUAUCUCCUCCCAUCUACCAGGCUCCUCAGUGAGGAGACCUCACGACCUGUUGCAGGUGCCUAGUCAGAGAGGUACCUCUAUGCCUGUAGGUGAAGGGCGAGAGUGGCAUCUAAGUUCCAUCUAAAGCCCCCAAAGCCUGUGAUUGAUCCCUGCUGCACCGCAGAUCAUGCCUGAAGCACCAGCCUAGCCAUGGGAAGGCUGGGUACUAGGAUUCUCCCCCAAUCACUGGGCAGUUGAGGCAUGAGGGCGCUACCCAGCUUGUCCAAGCUUGAGGCUUAUGGAUAGAGACAGGGACAUUUUUAGAUGGGAUGGAAGUCUUGGGCCUGAAAAGUUUUGCUGUGGGGGUAUUUGGCAAGACCUGCCUAGAAGCAGGCCUGGAUGACCCAGCUUCUCAAAGCAGGUUCCGGAAGGCACUGUGUGGGUAGACCAGCAUCAGGAGAGGGAGUGGGACCUGGGGGCUACACGGCACAGUCAUCACCAGCCUUGCAGAUUGAUCCAUAUUGUUGUCUCUGUGGGGUCCACCAUCCCUGCCUGCGUAGCCUCCUCCAGCACUCCAAGGCCCCCACUUCUCUUCCCGGUGAAGAGCGUAAAGAUAGAAAAUAAAAUCAUCAAACUUGUCCUUUUCCCUUUUCAAAGAUGUCCCUGCUCUGCAGUUGCCAUGGUGACACCUGCCAGCUUUUCUGAAUUCAGAACUCGAAGCCCUCCAGUGGCCUUAGCAGCCUGCCCCCACUUCCUUCUCCUGCCCACCUUCCACUUAGCUCAGGCCCCACCCACUCCAGUCUGUCCCCAUCCAACUCCACCCCUUUUAGGCCUCACCGGAACUCCUUCCCGGCCCAGGUCCCACCCACCACUCUCCACGCCCCUUGUAUGCUCCACCUACCCCAGCUCCGUUUGCUAGCCUGUUCCUGUCAAUCAAAACUCCACACCCUCCCCUGCAGUGUUCGUGCCAGUUCCACCCCAAACAAGGCCUCAUCCAGCCCACUUCCACCCUUGGCCUCUUCACGUUCUACCUGGGCCCUUUCUCCUGUUCCUCAAGGCCGGUCAGGUGCCUGAAAGGAAUGCCUCAGACUGGGUAAAGUAGACUACAGAAAAGCCCAGAGUCCAGGCAGAUAAGUGACAGUAAUGAGCUCCCGUGUGGCACAGUCCUGCCAGGGACACAGACACAUCACUAGGCUGCCAAGGGGCUGCCUGCUUUGCCCUCCACCUCCCUGUCCCCUGCACAGCUGCUGUCCCGGAUGUUUCCCUGAUCUUUUUUCUGGCCUUUGGAAUUCUUUUUUGUGUCUUCUCCCAUGGAGGCACAGAGGGCACCAGAGCAGCUUAGAGAAGAAAGAUGUUUCUGAGCCUGACUGGGCACAUUGCUUCAGUCCCCGGAACGGAACUUCUUCACCGGCCUGUAAACUCCCGACACUCAGUGCAUGUCGUCUGCCACCCUUCCUGCUCCCAGAUGACCCUUCAUCUCCUGGAAAUCUCCCCCUCCUCCAGGACCAGCUGGCCAUGGUCAGGUCCCCCGAUGUCUCCUCUCCCUCUUUUGAACCCUGGAGCAGCUGGCAAAGCUGGCGCCUCUGCUACCUCCACCCUAGAACCCACCCGCGUUUCCUGGGGUCACGGGGCUUCUCCGGGAGGUUUGUUCUUCACGGGUUCGCCUUUGGUGGAGUCCCCUACCAGUGAGGACACAGUGCUCUAUUGGUGAUGGUGGCCGUUUAUCAAACAUGUGUGCCAACUCUCCGGGGGUUGCUGGAUCAGCUCCUCUGAGCAUCCCACAGCCCACAGGAACUACAGAGUUCAUAGUCCUCAGCCCCACUGUGUCUUGGGGAAAGCCACUGUGCAGGAUUAGCAGGAAAUGAAACCAGCAUGUACUGGGGAGAGACAAGGACCCCUGGAUGCCCAGAGGUAGAAUCUGGAUCCCCUCCCUUCUCUUCCUUCUAGGUCUCGGAGGUUUGGAGCAGGUUCUGCCCUUGAACCCCAAUCAUACCCUGGAGCAUCAGAAUCUCACACCACGGGGG